AAAAAUUUGGACUUCUCAGAAGAGACGCUGGAACAAUGGGAACUAUGGGGGCCGCGUUAUUCUUACCAUUUGACUGAACCUGGAUGACGUCCAGUUUGACAGAGUCUGGUCAAGUCUCUCUCAAAGUCAUCCCUGGACAACCGGCGUCAGAAGCAGCCUUUAGACUCUCUGGCUGUAACUCAAUGCUUUCAAUCACAACAACCUGUGAGGAAUGCGGUGUCGAAGAACAUGGCCCUUGCUGGCACCAAGGUCAUGUAGGAAAUAUACAGGUUAAGAACAGAAAAUCCCAGCAAGGGGCUGCUGACAGGGAGAGACCAGAAGAGUCAAGUGCCUGUAGACCUCUGUCUAGGGGGUUCAUGGCUCUGAGGACCCACUUCUCACACCAGGAGCAUUGCAACUGGAGGAGGAGCCCUCCAAGCUCAAGGGAUCCAGCAGCUUUAGGAGAAGCACUGGGUGCUCAUAGUUUUUAUGGAUAAAACUCAAGAAAAUGCCAACCUUGUCUUGUGAGUAGGUUUGCUUAUGAGGGGAAAAUGUCACAUCUGUGAAAGGGACAGUCCCUCAGGGAAUUGCUGUUACACUAAGAGUCCAUCUCACUUUCUUUCCACAGCCCGCUCAGUCAAGCAUGCCACAGACAGACAUACUGGUGAGAUACUGGCUUCUUCCUGUCCAACCCCAGCCCUUCUGCUACUUCUAUAACCACUGCUUCCACUUCCUGAAACCAUGACUUCCCCGUGUCACACCUGCCUGUAGGAGGGGAAGCAGUGGUGAAGGUAAAAAUCAUGGUAGUGGGCACCUGGGUGGCCCAGUCGGUUAAGCAUCCGACUCUUGAUUUCAACUCAGGUCAUGAUCUCAGGGCCGUGAAAUCAAGCCCUGAGUUGGGCUUCACGUUC
rnacentral:lncRNA from 1 species